rnacentral:rRNA from 1 species
UUUGGUUGAUCCUGCCAGUAGUCAUAUGCUUAUCUCAAAGAUUAAGCCAUGCAUGUCUAAGUACACGAUUUUAUAUAUCAAAACCGCGGAUGGCUCAUUAUAACAACUAUGCUUUGAGAGAUAUUAUCAUUUGCCACAAGAUAACUGUGGUAAUUCUAGAGCUAAUAUUUUAUUGAAUGCCGUGACUCACGAAGCGGCGGAUUUAUUAGAUCAAAACUAACCUAUCCUAGACAGUAAUUUGAUGACUCUGGAUAACUUUACUGAUCGUACCAACUCUGCGUUGACGACGAAUCUCUGAAAUGGCUGCCCUAUCAACUUUCGAUGGUAAGAUCAAAGCUUACCAUGGUUGUAACGGAUAACGGGGAAUCAAUGUUCGAUUCUGAAAAGGGAGCCUGAGAAACGGCUACCACAUCCACGGAAGGCAGCAGGCUCGAAAAUUACCCAAUACCGGUUCGGCGAGGUAGUGACAAUAAAUAACAAUAUAGACCCUAGUGGUUUCAUAAUUGCAAUGAGAUUAUUUUAAAUACUUUUUCAAGUAUCAAUUGAAGGGCAAGUCUGGUGCCAGCAGCCACAGUGAUUCCAGCUUCAAAAGCGUAUAUUAAAGUUGUUGCAGUUAAACAGCUCGUACUGAAAUUGAGGUAGAUGUAAUUGAAGUCUUAUGAUUGAUUAUUACUACACCUUUUCUUCGUGUAUAUUAGUGAGAGACUUAAUUGUUUUUUUCUAAUCACCGAAAUGUUUACUUUCAAAAGAAUUUAAAUUUGUUGCAGUAAUAAAUAUUAGCUACUAAUGGACGUUUUAACUCGAUCUAAUAUGGCGACCACGAGUAAUUUUUUUAAUCAAUUUCUGAAGCCACCAGAAACUUUCAAUAUCGAAAAUCAUAUAAAUGAAUUCGUCAAGGAAAUUGAGAAGAUCUUUCGUUCAAGUGGAAUAAUUUCAAUUCGCUAUUCCUGACACCACAGUAAUUUAGCGGGUUACUCGGCCAUUUCUAGCUAGUGGUGGGUUACAGGGUUUCAUUGUUUGUUUGAACUAACCGGUGGUUGCCCCCGUAACGCCAUACAAAAUGAUGCGAAUCGCCACUUGGCACCCGUUGCUAAGCAACGUUGGUAAUGUGUUCAAGUGGUGGAUUGCCCGCAAGAAUUGAGUACCAUGUGCUAGUACUAUAGUUGCUCGGACAACCCUCGGGUUCACGAGCUGUCGAUAGAAGACUUAUGCUCGCUUAGCUCUGUCCCUUGUAGAAAUUCUAGGUCAGGUUCUUAAUUGCCAUUAUAUUAAAGAAACAACUCAACUAAGGCCAAAACUACUCUAUUUGAUUCAACCACCUGUGUAACACUUACUGCUUGACGUUUUGAAGUUGUGUUGCGCGACGUCGGGCACGUUCCUUA